AUGUCCCUUGUCUGUUAUUUCAUUAGGUGGUUAACAUUCCAAGCUUGUCCAUUUAGAGGCCAUGAUGAAUCUCCAGGAUCCCUAAACCAGGGUAAUUUUCUUGAGUUGGUAAAGCUUUUGGCUGCUUAUAACAAGGAUGUUAGAGAUGUUGUCUUGGAAAAUGCUCCACAAAAUGCCAAGUACACCUCACACCCCGUUCAGCAAGAAAUCCUUGGUUUACUUUCCAGGAAAGUGCAUAAAAGUAUUAGAGAAGAAAUUGGCAAUAGCAAAUUUUGUAUAAUGGUGGACGAGUCUAGAGAUGAAUCUAAAAAGGAGCAGAUGGCACUGGUCAUUCGGUUUGCUAAUAAAGAAGGGUACAUAGAUGAGCGCUUC
rnacentral:rRNA from 1 species